rnacentral:rRNA from 1 species
CAGUUCGGAUUGUAGUCUGCAACUCGACUACAUGAAGCUGGAAUCGCUAGUAAUCGCGAAUCAGAAUGUCGCGGUGAAUACGUUCCCGGGUCUUGUACACACCGCCCGUCACACCAUGGGAGUUGGUAACGCCCGAAGUCAGUGACCCAACCGAAAGGAGGGAGCUGCCUAAGGCGGGACCGAUAACUGGGGUGAAGUCGUAACAAGGUAAC